rfam:Atopobium parvulum DSM 20469, complete genome.
GGUAUGUUUCAGGAAAGGGUGCAAUUCCCUACUGGUGGUAAGGUGGCCGAACUUCAAGGUUUGUAACAACCUCGCUCAAGGAGCCAUCAAGUCCGCGACCCGCACAAGCGGUUAACCUGGUUAAAUUCCAGGACCAACGGUACAGUCCGGAUGUAAGAAACGGAGU